rnacentral:rRNA from 1 species
GACGAACGCUGGCGGCGUGCUUAACACAUGCAAGUCGAACGGAAAGGCCCUGCUUUUGUGGGGUGCUCGAGUGGCGAACGGGUGAGUAACACGUGAGUAACCUGCCCUUGACUUUGGGAUAACUUCAGGAAACUGGGGCUAAUACCGGAUAGGAUCUCCUGCUGCAUGGUGGGGGUUGGAAAGUUUCGGCGGUUGGGGAUGGACUCGAGGCUUAUCAGCUUGUUGGUGGGGUAGUGGCUUACCAAGGUUUUGACGGGUAGUAGACCUGAGAGGGUGACCGGCCACAUUGGGACUAAGAUACGGACCAGAAUCCUACGGGAGGCAACAGUGGGAAAUAUUACACAAUAAGCGGAAGCCUGAUACAACAACGCCGCGUUCGGAAUAACGUCCUUCGAGUUAUAAACCACUUUCGCCUUUAACAAAGCGUGAUUGACGGUAAUUAAUAAAAAAGCACCGGCUAACUACGUG